CUCUAAGGAAAGUAGGUGUAUGGAAAGGAUGAGGGGGUAACUACUUUGGAUUAUGACUGCUGAGAAAGAUGCACUGAUACCACUCAGAAUCUGUGUUCAUUUUCAAUAGGUCCAGGUAUGAGAAACUCCUUACCCAGCUGUGAUGCCAAGGAUCCACAACAAUGAUCACCACAGCAAGACGUUCCUGAAGAAAGGCUGCACCCAUGAAAUGUCAACAAUAUGGCUGCCUAAACAAGACCUAAACACUGACAACACCAGUUUGCAUGCCAACAUGGAUGGAGGAAAUUGCAUGAGGCCCCACCACAAGAUGAAGAGCUACAGUCAACUACUGACUGUUGAGAGAGGAAGAAUCGGUUUUUCCCGGGGAUGAGCCCCCUAACUGGUUAUCCAGUACCAAGUGGUCAGCCCUAAAACAUAUAUAUGUGAGCAACACUAAACACAGCAAGUUGCAUUCAUAUAUUCAUUCAUAUAUGUGUAUGUAUAAUGAUAAUAAUUAAAUAAAAAGAGGGCAUGGAUUUUUUUGCAGGGGGCACAUAGAGUGA